rnacentral:rRNA from 1 species
GUUGUAUGGUUAAGUGACUAAGCGUACACGGUGGAUGCCUUGGCAGUCAGAGGCGAUGAAAGACGUAAUAACUUGCGAUAAGCCCAGAUUAGGUAGUAAUAACCUUUUGAGUCUGGGAUUUCUGAAUGGGGAAACCCACGUGCAUAAGCACGUAUCCUGUUGUGAAUACAUAGCAACAGGA